rnacentral:rRNA from 1 species
AAUAGAUACCCGGGUAGUCCAUGCCGUAAACGUUGGGCGCUAGAUGUGGGGACCAUUCCACGGUUUCCGUGUCGCAGCUAACGCAUUAAGCGCCCCGCCUGGGGAGUACGGCCGCAAGGCUAAAACUCAAAGGAAUUGACGGGGGCCCGCACAAGCGGCGGAGCAUGCGGAUUAAUUCGAUGCAACGCGAAGAACCUUACCAAGGCUUGACAUAUACGAGAACGCUCUAGAAAUAGAGAACUCUUUGGACACUCGUAUACAGGUGGUGCAUGGUUGUCGUCAGCUCGUGUCGUGAGAUGUUGGGUUAAGUCCCGCAACGAGCGCAACCCUCGUUCUAUGUUGCCAGCGGUUCGGCCGGGAACUCAUAGGAGACUGCCGGGGUCAACUCGGAGGAAGGUGGGGAUGACGUCAAAUCAUCAUGCCCCUUAUGUCUUGGGCUUCACGCAUGCUACAAUGGCCGGUACAAAGGGCUGCAAUACCGUAAGGUGGAGCGAAUCCCAAAAAGCCGGUCUCAGUUCGGAUUGAGGUCUGCAACUCCG